rnacentral:rRNA from 1 species
AUUGAACGCUGGCGGCAGGCCUAACACAUGCAAGUCGAGCGGAUGAAGGGAGCUUGCUCCUGGAUUCAGCGGCGGACGGGUGAGUAAUGCCUAGGAAUCUGCCUGGUCGUGGGGGAUAACGUCCGGACACGGGCGCUAAUACCGCAUACGUCCUGAGGGAGAAAGUGGGGGAUCUUCGGACCUCACGCUAUCAGAUGAGCCUAGGUCGGAUUAGCUAGUUGGUGGGGUAAAGGCCUACCAAGGCGACGAUCCGUAACUGGUCUGAGAGGAUGAUCAGUCACACUGGAACUGAGACACGGUCCAGACUCCUACGGGAGGCAGCAGUGGGGAAUAUUGGACAAUGGGCGAAAGCCUGAUCCAGCCAUGCCGCGUGUGUGAAGAAGGUCUUCGGAUUGUAAAGCACUUUAAGUUGGGAGGAAGGGCAGUAAGUUAAUACCUUGCUGUUUUGACGUUACCAACAGGAUAAGCACCGGCUAACUUCGUG